rfam:Pseudoalteromonas piscicida strain S2040 contig0089, whole genome shotgun sequence.
CACCCGAAAAGCAUAAGCCGAUAUGCAAUGUGCCGACAGGAUGUCGGCUAAGUCUUGUCUGGCACACGGACGUGCCUUACAAGACGGUUGCACUAUAUCGGCUUAAGAUUUGAGGAUU